GGAUUGUGGCUCAGCGGUAGAGUGCUCGCCUAGCACAUGUGAGGCCCUGGGUUCGAUCCUCAGCACCA
rnacentral:tRNA from 1 species